AGCAGCCGCGGUAAUUCCAGCUCCAAUAGCGUAUAUUAAAGUUGUUGCAGUUAAAAAGCUCGUAGUUGAAUUUCGGGAUCAAUUUAUUGGUCGUGCUAUUGUACGUACUGGUAUUAUUGAUUCUUACCUUCUGACGAACCAUGAUGUCAUUAAUUUGGUGUCAUGGGAAAUCAGGACUGUUACUUUGAAAAAAUUAGAGUGUUUAAAGCAGGCUCACGCUUGAAUACAUUAGCAUGGAAUAACGAAAUAGGACGUUUGAUUCUAUUUUGCUGGUUUCUAGGAUCGACGUAAUGAUUAAUAGGGAUAGUUGGGGGCAUUAGUAUUCAAUUGUCAGAGGUGAAAUUCUUGGAUUUAUUGAAGACUAACUACUGCGAAAGCAUUUGCCAAGGAUGUUUUCAUUAAUCAAGAACGAAAGUUAAGGGGAUCGAAGACGAUCAGAUACCGUCGUAGUCUUAACCAUAAACCUAUGCCGACUAGGGAUCGGAUGAUGUUAAUUUUUAAUGA
rnacentral:rRNA from 1 species